rnacentral:rRNA from 1 species
GUAGGAACCUGCCCUUCAGUGGGGGAUAGCCCGGGGAAACCCGGAUUAAUACCGCAUACUCCUUACGAGGGAAAGCGGGGGAUCUUCGGACCUCGCGCUGAAGGAUGGGCCUGCGUCCGAUUAGCUUGUUGGCGGGGUAAAAGCCCACCAAGGCGACGAUCGGUAGCUGGUCUGAGAGGACGAUCAGCCACACUGGGACUGAGACACGGCCCAGACUCCUACGGGAGGCAGCAGUGGGGAAUAUUGGACAAUGGGGGAAACCCUGAUCCAGCAAUGCCGCGUGUGUGAAGAAGGCCUGCGGGUUGUAAAGCACUUUCAGUAGGGAAGAAAAGCUGAUGGCUAAUAUCCAUCAGUCUUGACGUUACCUACAGAAGAAGCACCGGCUAACUCCGUGCCAGCA